UUCUAGUGAUGAACAGGGAUGGAGAACUUGCACAUCGGAGGGAGAUGGGACUAUUGUGAAAACUACUCCGAAGAAGAAUUCCGAAGGAUUGCAUGAGUCUUAUGUGAAAACUUGGAUUGACCAAAGCCACAAUGGUGAGAAGAAGUCACAAUUCUGAGUCCCUCUGUUGGAAACCAUGGCAUUUGGAAGAUUAUGACUUGGACUCUAAGAAGACAAAAUGAAGCCUAUUGGUAACCAGGGCAGCAAAAAGAAAAGAGAAAAAAAAGAAAAGAAAAGAAAAGAAAAGAAAGAAAAGAAAAGAACCACCACAACACCAUGACUCCGGUUAACAAUCCUCAAAGUCAGUCCAGAAGGAUACUGUAAUUGAUAAUAUUUAAUGCCCCAGAGACAACAAGAAGAACCAGGAUGUUGAAUCACUCCAUCCCAGAAUGGAGAGCUGGAAGAGACAAGAGUCAAGGAUCUGUGUAGCCAGUGCAUUCCUGUACCUUAGAUGUCCUUUUGGUAUUAUGUUUUACAGCAGCCAGGAAGCUCUACAGUCAUGAUCUUCCAACAUCUCUAGGGACAAAAAGAAGUAUUUUUGUGAGCACGUAUCUGGUUUUAAAGCCUUCAAGAGGAGGGCAUCCAUCUUAGAGCCCUUCCAGAUAGUAGUGCUGCAUGUUUUUUUUCUCCUGUUUGUGAACUGGCAGAAAAAUAAGCUGGAAUACAGUGCAACGUCCACAUUUCUAGUUCUUGCUACCUCGGCAAGGGAGCAGAAAAGCAGUUCUGUCUGAAAGAGAAGUAGGAUGAGGUGGAAAACCCCUAGUUACUAGAUCUGCUUCCCCCUUCUCUUGCCAUAAUAAGAAUUUGUCAACUGUCCCGUUUGGCACCUCCAAAAAAAAAAAAAAAAAGAAAAUCUUGGCAUGUAGGAAUUACCAAGAGUAAAACUUUAUUGAAAGAUCCAUUUAGGCACAGCAGAAGAAGAGUUAGCUCUGAGGUUUUUCCACAAAAACCCACAUAGGUAAAACUCCCUUUUCACCCCUGGGCUGACCACAGUUCAUUGUCCAGGAGGUAACAAACUCUAACUUGUUAGC